rnacentral:rRNA from 1 species
AACGCUGGCGGCGUGCCUAAUACAUGCAAGUCGAACGAGAUGCUUUUGUAGCAAUACGAGAGUAUUCUAGUGGCGAACGGGUGAGUAACGCGUUGGUGACCUACCCCAAAGUGUGGGAUAACAGUCCGAAAGGAUUGCUAAUACCGCAUGUGGUCUUCGGAUUUAGAAACUGAUGACUAAAGGAGCAAUUCGCUUUGGGAGGGACCUGCGUCCCAUCAGCUAGUUGGUGAGGUAAUGGCUCACCAAGGCGACGACGGGUAGGGGACCUGAGAGGGUGGCCCCCCACAAUAGAACUGAAACACGGUCCAUACACCUACGGGUGGCAGCAGUAGGGAAUAUUGCUCAAUGGGCGAAAGCCUGAAGCAGCAACGCCGCGUGUGCGAUGAAGGCCUUCGGGUCGUAAAGCACUUUUCUGAGAGAUGAGAAAGGACAGUAUCUCAGGAAUAAGUCUCGGCUAACUACGUGCCAGCAGCCGCGGUAAAACGUAGGAGGCAAGCGUUAUCCGGAUUCACUGGGCGUAAAGCGCGUGCAGGCGGUGCGGUAAGUUGGGCGUGAAAUCUCCCGGCUCAACUGGGAUAGGUCGUCCAAUACUACCGUACUUGAGAGCAGAAGAGGAAAAUGGAAUUCCCGGUGUAGUGGUGAAAUGCGUAGAUAUCGGGAGGAACACCAGUGGCGAAGGCGAUUUUCUGGUCUGUUUCUGACGCUCAGACGCGACAGCUAGGGUAGUAAACGGGAUUAGAGACCCCGGUAAUCCUAGCCGUAAACGAUGUGAACUUGGCGUUGGUGGGUUAAACUCCAUCAGUGCCGCAGCAAACGCGAUAAGUUCACCGCCUGGGGACUACGGCC